CAAAACUUGGAACGCCUCUAAUUAUCACAAGAACUGGCCAAAACCAAUUGACCAAUGGCUUGAAAGGUGAUCAGAGAUCGUCAAAUAGACAGCAACUUUAACAACGCUCUUCCCAUUUUGCAGAGCUCUAUUUAUUCAUAAGUCACCGACAAAGUUUUCCAUUACCAUUUUGAGAUCAGCUGUCGGUGACUGAAGAGGAAAGAUAAAACUAUAUUGAAAAUUUAAGCUCGCGUUUCUUCUGAAUUUGAUGAAAUAAAAAAAGAGACGCGCUUACAAAUAUCGUUUAGAAAUAUUAAUAAAAGUUACCGAAAAGUAUUUAAAACGUCAAAACAGUAAAAAACGACAGCUAGGAUUUGACAUUUACUCUGCGGUCAAAGAACACUAAUUUCGAUUUAUUUGAAAUUAAAGCAAAUUUUGGAGAAAAGACUCGUCGGGAACUACAAGAAAGGAAACACGGUGAUAGACUGGAAAUGCUCAAAUUCGACCAUAUGGUUAUCUAUGUGCUGUUGUUUGUGUUAACAGUGUCGUCUGCUUUCUCCAGCCCUGUGCUGACUGGAUACCGACAACAAAGAAUUUCCUCAAGAAGCAGACGAGAUAUACAGGGAAUUCCGACCCAGAUACAACAGGAUCUUGCCGGGCCGCUAAUGCGCAUGUUGUUCAAGGAAAAAAGCCAUUUGUUGAACUUUUUGUCGACACGCAGCCAUGAAGAAAAGCGGCAGCGACAAUGCUAUUGGUCCGUCAUAUCCUGUUACUAGGAUAUCACGUGCGAUAUUGUCGUCUGGGAACGCGUAUAAACAUCCCGCUGUUAACAUUACCGACAACGGACGGAUAAGAUCAAAUCUACCAUGGCUAAAUUUCAUUUAAAGACAUUAAAAACUGGGAAACGAUGACAUAAAAUGAACACAGGAAACAUUUAAAUAUUGAAUAAAAACUGUAAUUCUCUCUGGGUAUCCAUUUUCUGCAUUAAUCAAACAAAUAUUUAAUGUCAGAACCUUUUUUAAAGAUUGUCUGUCAUUAUAUAAUAUAAUCAUAGAAUCGAUUUUCCUAAAAUCACAAAAUUUUGUUUGAAAAUUCAACGAUACUCGAUUUACGAUAACAAAAUAUUUAAAAAAUGAAUAUUGAUAUAAAUAUAAAUAUUUUUAUAUAUGCAUAAGAGUGACUUUUACUGAUUGUUCAACACAGUACUACAUAUUUCUAUUUCGUAAUGUCACGUUAUAUUGGCAGUUUAUUCUAAUACUAACAAGCUAUGUAAUUAAGAUAUACUUUUAAUAAAUUCUUCUGACAAUUUUUUGUUGUAUUAAAGAAUUAAAAAUUUAAAAUAUAUGCAUAUGGUUUAAUUCAAGCAAAACUGACAAACUUUUUGUUGUUUUUGUUUUUGUUUUUUUAAAGGAAAUUGAAAUUAGGGUACGAUGUGUGAUUGCCAAAUGUGUAUGAAUGUGAAUAUAUAUCAUAUAAUUUGAAAUGAUUAAAUGGAUUUUAUUCACUCUCUUUUUAGUUUAUAAAUUGAAAAUUUAAUGAAUAAAAAAUAUUUUAUUAUAAAUGAUGCAUUUCAUGUAGGCUUUUCAAAAGAAUUGUUAAGCGUUAAUUAUUGAGGGCAUAUUUUAACUUAUUUGAUAGCUAGCUUGAUGAAUUGAAUAGAAAGUCGUUGCCUUUAAUACAAAUGUCGUAAAAUCUAAAACAGAUGUCGUAAAAUUAAAAACAAAACGUUUAAAUUGUAUGGUGUACUGAACAGUGUAUGCAGUAUGAUUUUGUGAUUUGAUCAGUAUCGUUGUUUAUUAUUUUGUUGUUUGGUUUCUUGAAUAGAUCGGAACUUUUAUUGUAAACUUCAAGGCAAAAGAAAUAAAAGCAAAUAUUUAUUACAAGAAAAAGA